AGGAUGAACGCUGGCGGUCUGCUUAACACAUGCAAGUCGAACGGAGUACCUCGGUACUUAGUGGCGGACGGGUGAGUAACGCGUGAGAAUCUGCCCUUAGGUCGGGGACAACCAUUGGAAACGAUGGCUAAUACCGGAUAAGCCGAGAGGUAAAAGAUUAAUUGCCUAGGGAAGAGCUCGCGUCUGAUUAGCUAGUUGGUGAGGUAAAGGCUCACCAAGGCAUCGAUCAGUAGCUGGUCUGAGAGGAUGAUCAGCCACACUGGGACUGAGACACGGCCCAGACUCCUACGGGAGGCAGCAGUGGGGAAUCUUGCGCAAUGGCCGAAAGGCUGACGCAGCGACGCCGCGUGGGGGAGGAAGGCCUUCGGGUUGUAAACCCCUGUUGCCCGGGACGAAUGUGCAUUUUUGAAUGCAUUGACGGUACCGGGUGAGGAAGCACCGGCUAACUCCGUGCCAGCGAGCCGC
rnacentral:rRNA from 1 species